rnacentral:rRNA from 1 species
UUCUGACCGUAAACGAUGCCAACUAGCGAUCCGCCGGCGGCUUUGCGGCCCUGGUGGGGAGCUUCCCGGAAACGAAAGUCUUCCGGUUCCGGGGGAAGUAUGGUUGCAAAGCUGAAACUUAAAGGAAUUGACGGAAGGGCACCACCAGGAGUGGAGCCUGCGGCUUAAUUUGACUCAACACGGGAAAACUCACCCGGCCCGGACACCGUGAGGAUUGACAGAUUGAUAGCUUUUUCAUGAUUCGGUGGUUGGUGGUGCAUGGCCGUUCUUAGUUCGUGGAUCGAUUUGUCUGGUUUAUUCCGAUAACGAGCGAGACUCCAGCCUACUAACUAGUGCGGGCAUUGUCUCUGUGCUCGUCACUUCUUAGAGGGAUUGGCUGCGUCUAGCGGCACGAAACGGAGCAAUAACAGGUCUGUGAUGCCCUUAGAUGUCCGGGGCUGCACGCGCGCUACACUGGCAAAGGCAGCGUGCUUGUCCGCCUCCGAAAGGAGCCGGUAAACCCUUGAAAAUUUGCCGUGAUUGGGAUCGGAAAUUGCAAUUAUUUUCCGUGAACGAGGAAUUCCUAGUAAGUGCGAGUCAUCAGCUCGCGUUG